rnacentral:rRNA from 1 species
AACACAUGCAAGUCGAGCGGUAGCACAGGGGAGCUUGCUCCUUGGGUGACGAGCGGCGGACGGGUGAGUAAUGUCUGGGAAACUGCCUGAUGGAGGGGGAUAACUACUGGAAACGGUAUCUAAUACCGCAUAACGUCGCAAGACCAAAGAGGGGGACCUUCGGGCCUCUUGCCAUCAGAUGUGCCCAGAUGGGAUUAGCUAGUAGGUGGGGUAAUGGCUCACCUAGGCGACGAUCCCUAGCUGGUCUGAGAGGAUGACCAGCCACACUGGAACUGAGACACGGUCCAGACUUUUACGGGAGGCAGCAGUGGGGAAUAUUGCACAAUGGGCGCAAGCCUGAUGCAGCCAUGCCGCGUGUGUUAAGAAGGCCUUCGGGUUGUAAAGCACUUUCAGCGAUUAGGAAGGUGGUGAGCUUAAUACGCUCAUCAAUUGACGUUACUCGCAGAAGAAGCACCGGCUAACUCCGUGCCAGCAGCCGCGGUAAUACGGAGGGUGCAAGCGUUAAUCGGAAUUACUGGGCGUAAAGCGCACGCAGGCGGUUUGUUAAGUCAGAUGUGAAAUCCCCGGGCUCAACCUGGGAACUGCAUUUGAAACUGGCAAGCUAGAGUCUCGUAGAGGGGGGUAGAAUUCCAGGUGUAGCGGUGAAAUGCGUAGAGAUCUGGAGGAAUACCGGUGGCGAAGGCGGCCCCCUGGACGAAGACUGACGCUCAGGUGCGAAAGCGUGGGGAGCAAACAGGGUUAGAUACCCUGGUAGUCCACGCUGUAAACGAUGUCGAUUUGGAGGUUGU